rnacentral:rRNA from 1 species
UACAGAGGUGGCAAGCGUUGUUCGGAAUUACUGGGCGUAAAGGGCGCGUAGGCGGUUCGUUAAGUCCUGUGUGAAAUCCCCCGGCUCAACUGGGGAACUGCACAGGAAACUAGCGGGCUUGAAUCCGGGAGAGGGAUGUGGAAUUCCAGGUGUAGCGGUGAAAUGCGUAGAUAUCUGGAGGAACACCGGUGGCGAAGGCGACAUCCUGGACCAACACUGACGCUGAGUGAGCGAAAGCCAGGGGAGCAAACGGG